rnacentral:rRNA from 1 species
AGUGACUGAGUGUCGGACGGGUGAGUAACGCGUGGGUAACCUGCCUCAUACAGGGGGAUAACAGUUAGAAAUGGCUGCUAAUACCGCAUAAGCGCACGGUACUGCAUGGUACAGUGUGAAAAACUCCGGUGGUAUGAGAUGGACCCGCGUUGGAUUAGCUAGUUGGCAGGGUAACGGCCUACCAAGGCGACGAUCCAUAGCCGGCCUGAGAGGGUGGACGGCCACAUUGGGACUGACACACGGCCCAGACUCCUACGGGAGGCAGCAGUGGGGAAUAUUGCACAAUGGGGGAAACCCUGAUGCAGCGACGCCGCGUGAGCGAAUAAGUAUUUCGGUAUGUAAAGCUCUAUCAGCAGGGAAGAAAAUGACGGUUCCUGACUAAAAAGCCCCGGCUAACUACGUGCCAGCAGCCGCGGUAAUACUUAGGGGGCAAGCGUUAUCCGGAUUUACUGGGUGUAAAGGGAGCGUAAACGGAAUGGCAAGUCUGAUGUGAAAGGCCGGGGCUCAACCCCGGGACUGCAUUGGAAACUGUCAAUCUAGAGUACCGGAGGGGUAAGUGGAAUUCCUAGUGUAGCGGUGAAAUGCGUAGAUAUUAGGAGGAACACCAGUGGCGAAGGCGGCUUACUGGACGGUAACUGACGUUGAGGCUCGAAAGCGUG